GCAACUCUGAACCAGCCAUGCCGCGUGCAGGAAGACUGCCCUAUGGGUUGUAAACUGCUUUUAUACAGGAAGAAACAGUGGUACGUGUACCACCUUGACGGUACUGUAAGAAUAAGGACCGGCUAACUCCGUGCCAGCAGCCGCGGUAAUACGGAGGGUGCAAGCGUUAUCCGGAAUCAUUGGGUUUAAAGGGUCCGCAGGCGGUCAAUUAAGUCAGAGGUGAAAUCCCAUAGCUUAACUAUGGAACUGCCUUUGAUACUGGUUGACUUGAGUUAUACGGAAGUAGAUAGAAUAAGUAGUGUAGCGGUGAAAUGCAUAGAUAUUACUUAGAAUACCGAUUGCGAAGGCAGA
rnacentral:rRNA from 1 species